CUGGGGCACCAGGCGGGAGCAGAGGCCGAAGCAGCUCCUGCUGGUGGGCCACGAGGGGCGGGACCGGGGGCAGCUUCCUGGAGAAGGUGGCUUUGGAGCUCCUGGACAGUCCUGACGUCUUCCUCCGCCCGGCAGCGGAAAAGUCUGGGCUUAGUCGAAUUCCCACAUUCCAUGAACACGCCAGGUGAAGCCGGAGGGCGAGCGGCCCUGGAUCCCGGCUCCCACAGGAGGUGGCUCUGGAGUCCCAGAGUAUGAAGGACGGCCGUGUCGGGUGUCCCCCUGGACAAAGCAAAGGCACGGAAGGGAAGAAAGACUGGCCCUACCACCAAUGCUUGCUCUGUGGUUCUUGAUUCGGUGAGGCCAAAUCGCCGAGCCGGUGAAGACUCUGACGUGGAAGGUCUGGGGUGAGCCCUGGAAGAGCUUUCUUAGAGCGCUCACCGCCAGCAAAGCACUGUGCCCGUAGCUUGGCAUCGGUGAUCGGAUUCAGCCUUGCGUUGGAGACACAGUUUCCCGUGCGAGGUCUCCCAGCUGGCAUCUGGGCCAGGACUGGACUCCGGAGUCCCGGCACAGCACUCUCCCCGGGCGUCCUCCCAGGGCGGAUCGGGGGCAGCUCCGAGCGGCGAGCACCGGGCCCGGGUCCUUCCUGCGCUCGGCAUCCCCAGCUCUACGAAACCACUUGGGCGGGCGGCGCCGAGCUCCCCUGCAGGAAGCAUCUUCCCAGGUGUCCACUAGGUGUCACUCUGUGGUCUCGAAUGACUGCGUGCUGGUGCCCCAGACAGACGGCGGCUUUUUUUUUUUUUCAGACUUUUUACAUUUUCCUCCUCUCUGCCUCCAGCACAAACAUUCCAAAAUUCUCAAUGACAGAUAUUUUUGCUUUUCUGCUAAAUGGCCUUCCCACUUUUCUCCCUGCCCCUGCCUCCUCCAUGAUCUUCCUCCCCGUUUUGCGGACGUUUCAUUGGCAAUGUCCCGCCAUGGUCUUAACACCACAAUGGUGUGGCUGCUGGCGUUAAAGUCCUGUAGAAGAACCCCGUGGAAACGACCCCUGUGAGCGCCCGAGAGAGCAGGAGAGGCCAGCCAGGCCGCAGGAGCCACCAGAGCAUUGCCCCCUGAGAAUGUGUCUCCUCGCAUCCCCAUGCAUGCCGCUUGUCAGUCUGCGGCUUCUCGUGGGCCCAGCCUGCCUCCUGGGUCUGUCUCACCUUCUAGAUUGUGAGCCCAGAACAUCUCCCACCUUUCUAUUCCCUACACCACACAGCAAAGCAUAUGGUAGAAUGUAGAGUGUUUGGGGUUGAUGUCACUGAGGAAUAAAAAAACAGAUUUUAAACAGAGAUAACUGAGUCAAAGAAGCAUGCAAAACCAGUAACAGAAAAGUGAAGAAUGGAAGGAGGUGUGUGUCCACAGAGAGGAUAAAUCUGGGCUGUGGGUGAGCUGGCUUGGAAACCUUCGGCGGGGGUGGCAGUAUCGACCUGCAUUGUAAUGGGGCCGUGAGGGCACAGGAGGGAUGGAGGGCACCCCAGUGCGGGCAAGGCCGGUGCUGCGGCCUGGAGGCAGGAACUGGAGAGCAAACAGAGUCUUUG
ensembl:lncRNA